AUUGAAUUUACAGCUAAGCUAGUCGGAGAUAUCUACCAAGCUAACGUUAAGCUAGCCGUUAGCAGCUUACACACAUAACCAGUAAUACUAUACUUCCAGCAUCUAUGCGGUGGCUCCCAGUUCACUGACACCACAGGGAGCAUCAGUCAGUGGAGUAUUAGAGGCUCUGUGACUGAAAAAUGCUCUGUCAUUGUCUUGUGUGAGUGGACACACACACUAUAACCCUGACUGCACAGGAACAGCAGAGCUGCACUUCAAGACAAACGCGUGAAGAAAAAAAUUAAAGUGGAGCGAUGCUGUGACGAAUAUUUUCUGUACUGCGCAAUGUGGCUGACUGGAUAGUUUCUUGCUGUGGCUCCUCAAAGAAGGGCAAGACUGCAGCAGGAUGACGAUACCAGUGCAAAGGGCAGAGAGUGCGGACGGUCUGUAGAGAUGAAACAGCAUCAAGUCAGAAUCCUCCCUAACUCCUCCCAGCAGAAUGGAUAGAAGAGAUGCCCACAUUUCUCUGCCUGGUCCUUUAUCUGUGAAGUUUGUUUACGUGCAGUAUGUCAGUCUGUGUUGCUCUGCAGUUGUUAUAAUGAUGACUAAUCUGAAAACUCCUUGCUGGGAAGCUGGAUUAUGUCUGACAGCUGACAAGUGCAGCAGCAGCUCAGAAGUGUCUUACAUUUACUGUGUGAACAAAAUACUUUUAUAGUAAAAUAGGAAUCCAAUAAUUUAAAAAAUAUAUUAUUAUUUGACUGUCUCUCUAAAGGAUGUUAAUUUUUCUCUUGUGAGUCUCUCUUCUCCUGAGUAUCUGGCGCCAUCAUGUGGAAUGGAAAAACAACUGCAGCAGCCUAUCACUUGACUAAUAAAGACAGAUAACUGGCUUAUUAAUUACUAAGAAGAAACAGUAUUGAUCUAUACAAUAUUAAAGCUGAUUUAUUGCAACUGUUUUGCUCAGUAGCUAAUCAUAAUUAACAUUAUAUAACCAAAUGAAAGAACAAAUUACAGAUGAUCAGCUGUUAAUAAAAAUAAAUUCCACUUUCUUUA